ACCACAGUUUAUCUGCCUGGCUGUGAGAGCGGAGGAGGGGAGUCCUCCUCACUGACCGCCCCAGCCAGAAUGACCAUAUCAGGAGCUGAGGAAAGCUGAGCUGGCCGAAAAUAAAAGACAAAGCAGCGGAAACUUGGUGACAACAGUCUUGUUCUGCACAGACAGACAGGAAAGUAGACCAGAGUACUCUUCAGAUGGAACCUAGAUCUGAA